rnacentral:lncRNA from 1 species
UAGUUUGUUCCAAUAAAAAAAAUAAAAAAAUCAUAUUACUUUUAAUUUUUUUUUCUUCUUUUUCUUGAUCAUGGCGAGAGUUUCUAUUUUAUUAUGUUUGGUUAUAUUGGUUACAUUAGGAUUUGUGGAAAGUUUGUCAUAUGCACACGACACGGAAGUGACAUCAAAAGAUGUGGAGAGUAGUCAGAAAGAGACUGAAGUUGUUCAUAAAAGUAAACAUGAAGAGAAAGGAGGAGAAAAGGUGAAUGAUGAUCACAAAUCCGGUUCUGAUGUUGAUAAAAAGGACAAAAAGAAAGAGCAUGAUGUGCAUAAAAAGGAUGAUCAUCAUGAAAAGAAAGAGCAUGAUGUGCAUAAAAAAGAUGAUGAACAUGAAAAGAAAGAGCAUGGUGUGCAUAAAAAGGGUGAUCACCAUGAAAAGAAAGAGCAUAAGGUGCAUAAAAAGGGUGAUCACGAGAAGGAUGGUGAUAAGAAGAAGAGCGCUCAUCAUCAUAAACAUGGUAGUGAGAACGAUGAUGAUGAGGAGGAUGAUGAAAAGAAGCAUAAGGAUAAAAAGAAGGGUGAACAUGAUGACGAUGAAGAUGAAUCUGAUACCGAUGAUGACACUGAUGAUGACACCGAUGAUGAUGAUGACGAUGACGAUGAUGAUAAAGAUGAGGUUGAUGCGGAUGAUAAUGAAAAAGAUAAUAUUGGAUUAUAUGAGCUCAAGAAGGGAAAUAUAACCAUCAAGCUCACAAACUGGGGUGCUUCAAUCAUGUCUCUUCAUUUCCCGGA